UACGGAGGGUGCAAGCGUUGUCCGGAAUCACUGGGCGUAAAGGCGCGUAGGCGGCCUGGCAAGUCGGUGGUGAAAGCUCGGGGCUCAACUCCGAGUCGGCCAUCGAUACUGCGAGGCUCGAGUCGACUAGAGGCAGAUGGAAUUCCGGGUGUAGCGGUGGAAUGCGUAGAGAUCCGGAAGAACACCGGUGGCGAAGGCGGUCUGCUGGGGUCGAACU
rnacentral:rRNA from 1 species